CAGUAUUAAAAAAACUUAGUUAAGCAGUAUUUUGAACAAAACUUAAACAGAUCUGCUCAUGAAAUUAUGUGUUGAGAAACUGAUAAUUCGAUGAGCACAUGGUCUUUUUCUGGGCCUCACAAGCAGGUGGCUAUGGAAAACCAGAUGACUCUUCUCACAUCAUUGAAUGAUUUGUCCAAUUUUUGCUGGAAAAUUGUAACCUUUUAAUGAGCGAGUGUUACCCUCUCAUAAGCUCUUUCCAGUCAUCUGAAAGUAGGUUUCAGCCAUUUCUAAGCACUUUGAUUUUUUUCAGUAGAUAGAGUUUUUCCACUACGUUAAGGGACAAGGUUUUUACCUAAUGCCAGGACAGCUAAUUCCAGCCAAUUAUACCUGCCAUGCUUUCACUGCUGAGCUGUCAAUUAAAUCCAUGCCUUUUUGAGCCAUGUGCUCUAUGCUGAAUUUCCCCAAAUAGUGAGAGAGGAAGGGUAAAGAAUCAAAAUUGAUUAAGUUGCAUUGGGGUCUGUGUAUGUCUAAGAAGUUACUGGUAUUUUUUACUCCACCUCAAACUGCAGUUCAUCUUAGAAAAUGCCACUGAAGAAAGGGUGGCAUAUUACUGAGUGGGAUGUAAAAACUUACACAGCCUUUCAGAUCUCCAUCUCUCUGAUUAUGUGAUGCAAAAGUAAGAAUAGAACCACAUAAAGAUCUGCGUUACAGAAGGAAUGCUCCUAUUUCCUGUGAUGAGUUUUUGAUAUCAUGUAAGAAAAUGACAUCUCUUAUCCACAAAGGUAUUUUCCCCUUACUUGAUGUCAGAAGGAAGGAAACCCCCAGCCAGUCCCCAGAGGGGCAUCCCACAGUGCCUAUGAUAACCCACACUAUGGUCUUGUGCCUUUUUCCUAUAUGAGAAAACUUUCCCUUUCAUGUAAUAGUCAAGGUGUAUAUAUAGGCAGUGUAUGGUGCAUAAAUCAAGCACAACUUUCCUUGAACCCAAAAUGCUGUUGCUCUAUAUUUUCUUGGUGAGUUGCUGCUUACCUGGCUCAACGGGAAGUGCAGUUGAAGAAUUUCAAGCAAACCUCGAGGCUCUGGUGGCUCUAUCAAACAAAGAGAUCUUUCUUCCAGUACCCAAGGGGCAAUUUCA
rnacentral:lncRNA from 12 species